rnacentral:lncRNA from 1 species
CCUUUCAGCUUGGUCUUUCCGGGCCUCGCUUCCCCCAGCCCCUGCGCCCGGCCCGAACGAGAGGUUCCGGAGCCCCGGCGCGGGCGGGUUCUGGGGUGUAGACGCUGCUGGCCAGCCCGCCCCAGCCGAGGUUCUCGGCACCGCCUUGAGAGCUUCAGCUGCCCCAGGGUGUGCAGGUUUGCUUUAGAGGGUCGGCGGGCGGAGCUUCGGGGAAGAGGAGCUCUGGGAGAGUCAUUCCGGCCAGUGGCCGGAGACCGUCGUCGCUCUUGGGAAUCCUUGGCCGCCCAGACAGAAGGGAAGUAGGCGCCGGAGAGCCCGUUCUGCAUUUUGAUUCAUCUCGGGCCCUAUUAGAAUCCCAAGAAAAUCAAAUGGCAUCCGGGGAUUUCUGCUCACCUGGAGAAGGGAUGGAAAUACUUCAACAAGUCCUCUGCCCCUUUGCUCAGAUGCUGACAGUGAAACCGUGAAGGCAGCAAAGGUGUGGAAACUCGCAGAGGUCCUGGUGGGUGAGCAGCAGCAGUGCCAGGAUGCCAAGAGCCAGCAGAAGGAGCAGAUGUUGCUGCUGGAGAAGAA